rnacentral:rRNA from 1 species
UAAUACGUAGGGUGCGAGCGUUAAUCGGAAUUACUGGGCGUAAAGCGUGCGCAGGCGGUUUAGUAAGACAGGCGUGAAAUCCCCGGGCUCAACCUGGGAACUGCGCUUGUGACUGCUAAGCUAGAGUACGGCAGAGGGGGGUGGAAUUCCACGUGUAGCAGUGAAAUGUGUAGAGAUGUGGAGGAACACCGAUGGCGAAGGCAGCCCCCUGGGCCGAUACUGACGCUCAUGCACGAAAGCGUGGGUAGCAAACAGGAUUAGAUACCCUGGUAGUCCACGCCCUAAACGAUGUCAACUAGGUGUUGGGUGGGUAAAACCAUUUAGUACCGGAGCUAACGCGUGAAGUUGACCGCCUGGGGAGUACGGCCGCAAGGUUAAAACUCAAAGGAAUUGACGGGGACCCGCACAAGCGGUGGAUGAUGUGGAUUAAUUCGAUGCAACGCGAAAAACCUUACCUACCCUUGACAUGUCCAGAAGCUCUUAGAGAUUUGAGUGUGCCCGAAAGGGAGCUGGAACACAGGU